CCCCUCCUUUCCAGAGCUGAACGUGUCAAACGUUGAGCGCUCACGCUUAUCGGCUGUAGUGAAGAAACGCAGACAGACUCAGGGGUCUGUAGCUCAGUCGGUUAGAGCACCGUCUUGAUAAGGCGGGGGUCGAUGGUUCGAAUCCAUCCAGACCCACCACUGUCAUGUCUGGUGAGCUGGUCGGCUGUGACUCCUGCGAUCUCUGUAUGACCGGGGGGAUUAGCUCAGCUGGGAGAGCACCUGCUUUGCAAGCAGGGGGUCGUCGGUUCGAUCCCGUCAUCCUCCACCAAUCCUCAAUGCGUAGCGUUCUGUGAAAGCGGCAGAGCGUUGUGCAUUGGCGAUUGAGCCAGUCAGCAAGUGAUAUGAAGCAGAGCUUUGUAUCGGCUGUCGUUCUUUAACAAUCAGGAAGAAGUAGUAAAGAGAUUCACGAAAGCAUACUUAGAGAUGGGUGUGCGAGUAGGUGAAUCAGGGUUGUGAUUGUAUCGAUGUAUUUUAAAGGUAAUCGAAAGAUUGCUCUUGGAAUACGGCGCAACACGAAUACUCAACCUGUAGCGAGUGAUCGGAUCGCUGGUCCCCUUCGGGGAUCGGGCCAGAGUAAGUGCUAAAGCACUAACACUGGCCGAGAAGACACACCCGUUAUAGGGUCAAGCGAACAAGUGCAUGUGGUGGAUGCCUUGGCGAUCACAGGCGAUGAAGGACGCGGUAGCCUGCGAAAAGCUACGGGGAGCUGGCAAACGAGCUUUGAUCCGUAGAUGUCCGAAUGGG
rnacentral:misc_RNA from 1 species